CCCUUAGAUGUUCUGGGCCGCACACGCGCUACACUGAAGGAGGCAGCGUGUACUCCUGGAUCGAAAGAUUUGGGUAACCCGCGAAUCUCCUUCGUGCUAGGGAUUGAGGUUUGCAAUUAUCCUUCAUGAACGAGGAAUUCCCAGUAAGUGCAAGUCAUAAGCUUGCGCUGACUACGUCCCUGCCCUUUGUACACACCGCCCGUCGCACCUACCGAUUGAACGAUUCGGUGAAAACUCCGGACUGUGGUUGCUCACCCUUUAUUGGGAGUGCUUCCGUGGGAAGUUGUGUGAACCUCAUCGUUUAGAGGAAGGUGAAGUCGUAACA
rnacentral:rRNA from 1 species